UGACUACAAUAGAGACUCCCCAACUCGCUUCCUACCGCCGGAGGCAGCCGUUGCGGGCGAGCAAGCGACGGCGGCAGCCGGAGCGAGGGAGCCCGCGGCGCCGUGACGGGUCGCUCCUUCGACCUACGCGCCGCCGCCGGCCGACCGUCUGCACGCCUCCCCGCCGACGGGCUCGCCUCCUCUUGUCCCGGACCCCUUGUCCCGGACGAUUCCCGCAACCCGAUCCCACGACCCCGAGCGCGCCGCCGCGUGCCGCCGUCCCCAGCCCACCCGCAGCGCGCCGCCCACGCAGGCGCGCGUCGCUAUUCCCAUCCCUAUCUCCGCGCAACACCACCCCCAGCCAGACCCGACCCAAUCACGUCGCCAUGGUGCGGUGUCUCCAUCUCCCGACGACGGAGCAGCACCUCCCCGACGGCGCGCCUACCACCGCCGACGAGGAACUCUGCCCCAAGCCUCGUCCCCUCUCCUCACGUCCGGAUGGGCAAGAUCCAGCCGGCGUUGAAGCCUAUCCCACCGGCGCAGCUCCCCAUCGCCAUUGCGCUGCUCCUUCCCCGCGUGUCUCCAGUUCCCCUUGCUGCUCGGAUUGGUGUGCCGCGGUGCCGCCACUCAGGUGUUUGCAGUAAUGCUUGAGCACAGCACCAGCAGUCGUCGCGGUCACUUCAUCCCUGAACUGCCACGCGCCGCCUGCGGCCUCGCUUCUUCCCCUGUCUUCUGCCUGGGCGAACCCCUUUUUCUCCUCCCAGGCACAGCUGCAACGUCCUUCUCAGUCCAAAUUGAGCAUUGGUUGUCGUACAAGUUGGAUCCCGGCUACAGUCUUCGCCAAAGAAGCCAUCAUCCCUGUUCUGAACUACCAACAGCCUCUGCUAAUGUGCGCAAAAUUCAAGUUCAAUAAAACAAAAAAUGGAAGGUCAGAUAUGGCACCAAGAUAAGUUAGAAAAAAUGGUUUCAACAUAAUGCAAUUUGGGGGAAUGACAGCGCCCAGGCAAUUCACAGCCGCCACCCUAGUCUGUUCACCACCGCCAACCGAGGCCGUUCAACGACGCGCCGGGCAAAGAAUAUCAAGUAAAUAAGCAACUUCGACAUGCCAAUGGGACCUUUUUAUUAAGUGCUUUGACUACGACUGAUGGAAGUUGGUAUUCUGUGACAUUGCGCUCAGCGGCAGGAGGGCGAGGAUCUCUUCAUCUCGGCAGUACAACUGCACCCUCCGGCGUCGUUCACGAGAAGAGCUACGUGCAGGCCACCCGUGCUCCACCCUGGAUUUCUUCAAUAAUCAGGCCGUCGUCGUCAGGGUUCCUGCCCCACGGCAGUCGUACUGGCUCAUGCGCCACUGUCGUCGGUCCUUUUUCGGUUGGAGAUAGGUAGCGCCCCCAGGGAGCCCCUUCUUCAAUGGUUCAUUGGUCUGUCAAGUAUGAAGGUGAGCUUCAUAAUAGAGUAGCUAGACCUAUCCGCCUUCCAUUUUACAAAUUUUGCUGGGAGCUAGAAGUAACUAUAUGUAGAAAGUUGGCAUCUCUGUUUACAUAAACAUGCAUAACACGUGUGAUGCUACAUAAUUCCUGGGUCCUCCUCCUGUUAUGCACAAGCUCCAAUUCGUCGAGAUACUCUAUGGAGGUACUCCAUUUUAUGUUUUCAAUUCAUCUUACAAAAAAGCAGAACAAACUAUGUGUCAUUUUUGUCAUUCACGCAAGUUCAGGCAUACCUUCUACAAAAGUUCAAAAAUCUGAAGAAACAAAGCUCAAACCAAGUUCAGAAAAUGUUUCUGGAUUAAAUUAGUUGUUUUGGUUAAUUCUGUAGUACAUGUGUGUAUUGUGAUUGUAAUUGUGGCUUGGAGUUGAGAAAAAAAAUAACAAAAAGGUACAUAAAUGAACCCAAAAACAUUCGGUAGUUUCUGGAAGCCCAAAGUUCAGUUCAACAUGUUUUCUAUCAUCAGCUCGUUAAGAACCCCAGAAACGGUUCAAUGUGUGUGUUAAAAAAAUAGCUGGCUAUAUAAAAAAAUUAGUAGCUAGGCAAAAAGAAGUUUGUAUCAGUUCAGACUUGCCUGCACAGAAGGAUAGAGGCCCUUGUCCCAUACGUUCAGGUUUGCAUCGAUGCUCCAGCCAACUCCAUUAUCUACUCAGUAAAUGCUCCACUGCUAAAUCCAUUUGACGUUUUGUCAGGUUUGGUAACUCCUCUCCCUUUCCCUUUUCAUGUAAUGCAUUUAGGACAAGUUCAAGUAUAGGUAAAGAAUAUUCUCACCACAUGAAUAUUGAUCUAGAGCUCUUCAGUUUGACAGUUUUUCAGUUCGUGUGGAGCUUGUCAGUUCGACAAUUUUUCAUUUUGUGUGGAGCUAGUCAUUGUUUUAGGUUGCGUCUGGCUGUACCAAAUGCUUGCACUUCUCUGAACUGAGAGUACGCUUGAGUUUCCUAUUCCUUCUAAUCUUAAUAGGUUAUCUUGAUAGGAGUCUAGUGUUAGUUACUAAAUUCUAGUCAGAGUAGUGUAAUCAAGGGAAUGUGGAUAACUUGUGUCCAGGUAUCACUUGCACAAUUGCGUUGUUGUGCUGCACACUUGUACUCACAUAUUAUUAUGCUGCGAUACUAGUUCUAAACAAUUUGUUAUGUAUGUCACAUGCAGGUUUCUCCCCAUUCUUCUCGUCUUCAUACUAUGCCUUUCAUACCUUUAUAUAUAAAAAAGCUCAGUCUGAAACUACGGAUUUGCCCAGAGCCUUGACCUAGGACAUUCUGAAUAAAACUUCAAAGAAGUCUGAAAUGCACUGUAGUAUAUAAAGCCUUGUUCAUCAUUCAUUCUGAUACUAGAAUCUAGAGUAAUAAAUCAAGUUUGUAAUAUGUAGGCGCAAGAACAUGACUCCCUACUUGAAAUGAGUACUCUUUUGUUUCAGCUAAUACUUCUUACUCUGAAUUCCAAAAGUGGAUACACUUAAGUACAGCUUAGUAGACUACUAGUAGUACAUCAGUAUGUAAGGCGAUGUAAUUACCAGAACCUCAAUGAUUAUAGUAUUUGGGAUGCUCAUCAUUUUUCACAUCCAUCUCUACUAAAUUAUGUUAGUCUUUUUCAGUUCAUCUUUGAAAUUUCGAUCCAUUUUCUUUUUGCAGGAUGCGUCAAAUACUGAAAUAAAAGGCAGCAGCUCAAAUAGAUGAAUAUUGGAAGUCCAUUGCUAUCUUGAGGCCCACAUAGCCGGCAUUUUCAGUUCAUCUUGCAAGUGAUGGGGCUCCCCUUCAGUUCAUCCGGCAGGUGUUUUGGGCAGUACAAAAUACAUCACCAUAGUUAGUACAUCAAGGAUGGCUUGGUAGUCGCUGGGAUUCCCUGCAGUGGCCAAAUUGCCUCCAUCAGCUCCACCUCGCCGUAGCAAUCAGUCCAUAGGAGGAGGUGUAGCUGGUCCACCCGGUCCACCCAAUUUUUCUUUCAACAUUUUCUUUGUGAUGCAUGCUCACUGAUGGAUCAAUAACUAUUUAUUGAUAUGGAGAUGCGCCCUUGUUUUUUUUUCCUGGAAAAACAAGAUGCCUUUGCAUACUUCAAAGUUGCUGCUUGCUCCCACCAGUCAAUUGUGCAAGUUCAGUGGGUGUCGUCGAGCAUGUUCAGAAGUAUGCCCUUUGUGCAAAAGUGUGAAUUUUUUUCAGUAUUUUGUUUA